UACGUAGGUGGCAAGCGUUGUCCGGAUUUACUGGGCGUAAAGCGUAUGCAGGCGGCAUCUUACGUAGGAAGUGAAAGGUUGGAGCUCAACUCUAACACUGCUCCCUAUACUGGGGUUCUUGAGUGCCGGAGAGGAAGACGGAACGACACGUGUAGCGGUGAAAUGCGUUGAGAUGUGUCGGAACACCAAUGGCGAAAGCAGUCUUCUGGACGGAUACUGACGCUGAGAUACGAAAGCCAAGGUAGCAAACAGG
rnacentral:rRNA from 1 species